UACGUAGGGUGCAAGCGUUAAUCGGAAUUACUGGGGCGUAAAGCGUGGCGCAGGCGGUUAUGUAAGACAGAGGUGAAAUCCCCGGGCUCAACCUGGGAACUGCCUUUGUGACUGCAUAGCUAGAGUACGGUAGAGGGGGAUGGAAUUCCGCGUGUAGCAGUGAAAUGCGUAGAUAAUGGCGGAGGAACACCGAUGGCGAA
rnacentral:rRNA from 1 species